rnacentral:rRNA from 1 species
UAGUGGCGCACGGGUGCGUAACACGUAUGCAACCUACCUUAUACUGGGGGAUAGCCUUUGGAAACGGAGAUUAAUACCCCAUAAUACGUUUUAGUGGCAUCACAUAGACGUUAAAGAUUUAUCGGUAUAAGUUGGGCAUGCGUCCAAUUAGUUAGUUGGUGGGGUAAUGGCUCACCAAGACUUUGAUUGGUAGGGGAACUGAGAGGUUAAUCCCCCACACUGGCACUGAGAUACGGGCCAGACUCCUACGGGAGGCAGCAGUAGGGAAUAUUGGGCAAUGGAGGCAACUCUGACCCAGCCAUGCCGCGUGCAGGAAGAAGGCGUUAUGCGUUGUAAACUGCUUUUAUAUAGGAAGAAAGAGUUCUUGCGAGAACAGUUGACGGUACUAUAUGAAUAAGCACCGGCUAACUCCGUGCCAGCAGCCGCGGUAAUACGGAGGGUGCAAGCGUUGUCCGGAUUUAUUGGGUUUAAAGGGUGCGUAGGCGGUUUAUUAAGUCAGUGGUGAAAGACGGUCGCUCAACGAUUGCAGUGCCAUUGAUACUGGUAGACUUGAGUGAGAUUGAGGUAGCUGGAAUGGAUAGUGUAGCGGUGAAAUGCAUAGAUAUUAUCCAGAACACCAAUUGCGUAGGCAAGUUACUAAGUCUC